UUGAAAGGGAAACGAUUGAAGUCAGUCAUACCAACGGGAAUCAACCUCUUGAGCUCGGUCUCGUGGGUUUUGAAGAGUUUCAAAGCCUUCGGAUUCGCGGGAUUGGGAUCUCCUGGCGUACUUUUUCGUACGGUUAGUCAACAUCGGUUUUGAAUGUCAUAAAAUGAUUGGAGGAAUGUAGCUUCGAUCUCGUAUUGAAGUGUUAUAGCCUUUGUAGAUGUGAUGUUUGAGACCGAGGAUUGCAACGGAUACCCUUCAGGGCUAUUCGUCUGAUCUCUGAUACGUUGCCUUGAUGUUGAAAGUUCGCUUAUGAUGUUAGGGUAUUACGGUCAAAAGGUUAGAGCGAAUUACAUUCGUUAAGGAUGUUGACGUA
rnacentral:rRNA from 1 species